rnacentral:rRNA from 1 species
UACGAAGGGGGCUAGCGUUGUUCGGAUUUACUGGGCGUAAAGCGCACGUAGGCGGCUCUUUAAGUCAGGGGUGAAAUCCUGGAGCUCAACUCCAGAACUGCCCUUGAUACUGAGGAGCUUGAGUCCGGGAGAGGUGAGUGGAACUGCGAGUGUAGAGGUGAAAUUCGUAGAUAUUCGCAAGAACACCAGUGGCGAAGGCGGCUCACUGGCCCGGUACUGACGCUGAGGUGCGAAAGCGUGGGGAGCAAACAGG